CAGUAAAUAACCUGAAGCCGAGGUUGCAGAUACACCAAGAGAAGAAUAUGAAUCCAAUGCAGUCCCAAAUUUGGACUCCGAAAUGUCUGAUAGCGAUGGCCCAGAAUGCAGCAUUGCCCCAGAUGUGAUCGAGACCGACUUUGAUUUCUCCUCUGAGGAAUCCUGUGAUGAGAAGAGCAAAGCAGACUCAUUCUGGAGCAAAUAUCCUCCAAAUAAUGAAACCAGGACAUCCUCACUGAGCAGUCCAGGACCUGCCCUGGGGUCUUCAGUGGAAACACCUAAAGAUGCCUGGGAGCUUUUUUUGAGCGUCACUGAUAACAUCCUGCAGUCCACCAACUUGGGUCAUCAGCAAAUAGAAGAGCAUGGCAAAAAAUCACUAAAGAGGAGCUUAAUGCUUUUAUUGGUUUGAGCCAUUCAGAGGAAGAUGCACAUUUCGGCAACACUGGACAAAACAACCUGUCAUGUAUGGUAUUAAAGUGUUUUGGUUGUGCGACGCGGAAUUGGCCUAUGCUAUUGAUGCUGUGAUCUACACUGGCAAACAGUCAGGAGAGGAGACUAAAGAGAUGCUUGCUGAGGACACAGUCCUGAAGUUGUCCAGUGGACUUCAGCAGAAAGGUCUUAACAUUACAUUGGACAGCAUGUAACCAGUGUCCCUCUGGCGGAGAAACUUUUUGAGAAGGGCCACACUUGCCACCGAUCAUGAAGCCAUCCAAAUCACGAGCACCACACACCUCUGAAUUUGGAUUUUGUGGCAACACGCCAUGGUCAAUUGGUUGAAUGAAUGCAGUGUUGUCAAUGCCUGCCGAAGAAGUCAAUUUAACAAAGCCACAAGGUGGAGCACAAGUCAAUUUGCACUGCAGGCCAAUACA